AUAAAAAAGUGGACCAUUUACAACUCACUCAGAUCUGAGAAUAUCCUUUUCAACAAAGAAUCUAGGGUCCAAGUCGGGACCAACAUAGCCCAAGUUGGGCACCAGUUAAUGGCAUGAAGUAUGAGUGGGCACACAUAAACUCUUAGUAGAUAAGAUACCCACUAAUCACAGCACAGUGGCAUACACAUGUAAUAUAAAGCUUCCAAACAAUUAUUCUUAAAGUCUUAAAGAAUGUGUAGCUCCAUUCGGGAGGUCAUAUACGUAACAAAACGAUGGACAUUCAAAAAACAAACAGUAUGAAUUACCAACACAAUAAAAAUAUCAAUACUUGUGUGGACAAAAUAUUUUGGCAAACUUAAAAUCUACAUACAAUACAACACAAUAUGAAGUACUGUUUGCUCUGACCAGGCAGAUGGAUUAAUAGACCUACCAAUCAGCAGAUGUUAAAGUAUGUUAUUGUCAAGUUAAAAAAUAUAAAAAGUGUUAGAUUAAUGGUUUUCAAUCGAGUAAGUCGUCAAAAAGAAAGUGUAU